rnacentral:rRNA from 1 species
UACGAAGGGGGCUAGCGUUGCUCGGAAUUACUGGGCGUAAAGCGCACGUAGGCGGAUUGUUAAGUCGGGGGUGAAAUCCUGGAGCUCAACUCCAGAACUGCCUUCGAUACUGGCGAUCUCGAGUUCGGGAGAGGUGAGUGGAACUGCGAGUGUAGAGGUGAAAUUCGUAGAUAUUAGCAAGAACACCAGUGGCGAAGGCGGCUCACUGGCCCGGUACUGACGCUGAGGUACGAAGCGUGGGGAGCAAACAGGAUUAGAAACCCCGAG